rnacentral:rRNA from 1 species
AUUGAACGCUGGCGGCAUGAUUUACACAUGCAAGUCGAACGGUAACAGGCCGCAAGGUGCUGACGAGUGGCGCACGGGUGCGUAAUGCAUCGGAACGUGCCCAGUCGUGGGGGAUAACUACUCGAAAGAGUAGCUAAUACCGCAUACGAUCUAUGGAUGAAAGCGGGGGACCGUAAGGCCUCGCGCGAUUGGAGCGGCCGAUGUCAGAUUAGGUAGUUGGUGGGGUAAAGGCUCACCAAGCCAACGAUCUGUAGCUGGUCUGAGAGGACGACCAGCCACACUGGGACUGAGACACGGCCCAGACUCCUACGGGAGGCAGCAGUGGGGAAUUUUGGACAAUGGGCGCAAGCCUGAUCCAGCAAUGCCGCGUGCAGGAAGAAGGCCUUCGGGUUGUAAACUGCUUUUGUACGGAACGAAACGGCUCUGGUUAAUACCCGGGGCUAAUGACGGUACCGUAAGAAUAAGCACCGGCUAACUACGUG